AAAGUCGUAACAAGGUUUCCGUAGGUGAACCUGCGGAAGGAUCAUUAUUGAAUUGUUUGUUUGAAUUGGCUUAAAACCCCAAUUCAGCAUCCAUAUCCAUAACACCUGUGCACUGUUGGAUGAACUCGACUCUUGUAGUCUCGCAAGUCCACUUUUACACCAAACAAUAUGUAACAAAUGUAGUCUUAUUAUAACAUAAUAAAACUUUCAACAACGGAUCUCUUGGUUCUC
rnacentral:misc_RNA from 1 species